UUCUUAAUAGCUUAAAUGAAAGCAAUGAGCUUUUAACUCGUAGAUAGGAUAUAUUCCUUUAAGAAG
rnacentral:tRNA from 1 species